GUCGAGCGGAUGACGGGAGCUUGCUCCUUGAUUCAGCGGCGGACGGGUGAGUAAUGCCUAGGAAUCUGCCUGGUAGUGGGGGACAACGUUCCGAAAGGGGCGCUAAUACCGCAUACGUCCUACGGGAGAAAGUGGGGGAUCUUCAGACCUCACGCUAUCAGAUGAGCCUAGGUCGGAUUAGCUAGUUGGUGAGGUAAAGGCUCACCAAGGCGACGAUCCGUAACUGGUCUGAGAGGAUGAUCAGUCACACUGGAACUGAGACACGGUCCAGACUCCUACGGGAGGCAGCAGUGGGGAAUAUUGGACAAUGGGCGAAAGCCUGAUCCAGCCAUGCCGCGUGUGUGAAGAAGGUCUUCGGAUUGUAAAGCACUUUAAGUUGGGAGGAAGGGCAGUAAGUUAAUACCUUGCUGUUUUGACGUUACCGACAGAAUAAGCACCGGCUAACUCUGUGCCAGCAGCCGCGGUAAUACAGAGGGUGCAAGCGUUAAUCGGAAUUACUGGGCGUAAAGCGCGCGUAUGUGGUUCGUUAAAUUGGAUGUGAAAGCCCCGGGCUCAACCUGGGAACUGCAUCCGAAACUGGCGAGCUAUAGUAUGGUAGAGGGUGGUGGAAUUUCCUGUGUAGCGGUGAAAUGCGUAUAUAUAGGAAGGAACACCAAUGGCGAAGGCGACCACCUGGACUGAUACUGACACUGACGUGCAAACGUGGGGAGCAAACAGGAUUAGAUACCCUGGUAGUCCACGCCGUAAACCAUGUCAACUAGCCCUUGGAAUCCUUGAGAUUUUAGUGGCGCAGCUAAGCAUUAAGUUGACCGCCUGGGGAGUACGGCCGCAAGGUUAAAACUCAAAUGAAUAACAGGGGCCGCACA
rnacentral:rRNA from 1 species